rnacentral:rRNA from 1 species
AAGGAUCAUUACCGUAUCCCGCACGCCGCCGGGCCCCGCGCCCGGCGACAUCGCGCACCCUCUGCACAACGAGUACCCACGUCUCCUCGGCGGGUCCGCCCGCCGGGACACCCAAACCAAACCCUCUGCGAUCCGUGCGGUCUGAUGAGAAUAAGCAAUCGUUAAAACUUUCAACAACGGAUCUCUUGGUUCUGGCAUCGAUGAAGAACGCAGCGAAAUGCGAUAAGUAGUGUGAAUUGCAGAAUUCAGUGAAUCAUCGAAUCUUUGAACGCACAUUGCGCCCCUUGGCAUUCCUUGGGGCAUGCCUGUUCGAGCGUCAUUUCGCAGUCAAGCACAGCUUGGUGAUGGGCGACCGCCCCCGCCGCCGCGCGGAGAGGCCCGCCUCGAAUGCAUCCGGCAGCUGGCACAUCGGGAGUUGCAGCGCAGCACAGUCGCGCGGCAGCACCGGGAGCCGGCCCCCGGGAGUCGAAGACGAAACCGAAAGCUUGACCUCGGAUCAGGUAGGGAUACCCGCUGAACUUAA